rnacentral:tRNA from 1 species
GGGCCCAUAGCUCAGAUGGAUAGAGCGCCGGACUUCGAAUCCGUAGGUCGCACGUUCGAGUCGUGCUGGGCUCA